rnacentral:rRNA from 1 species
AAAUUUAUAAUCUGGCACCUUCGGUGUCCGAGUUGUAAUCUCUAGAAAUGUUUUCCGCGUUGGACCGCACCCAAGUCUGUUGGAAUACAGCGGCAUAGUGGUGAGACCCCCGUAUAUGGUGCGGACGCCCAGCGCUUUGUGAUACAUUUUCGAAGAGUCGAGUUGUUUGGGAAUGCAGCUCAAAUUGGGUGGUAAAUUCCAUCUAAAGCUAAAUAUUGGCGAGAGACCGAUAGCGAACAAGUACCGUGAGGGAAAGAUGAAAAGCACUUUGGAAAGAGAGUUAACAGUACGUGAAAUUGUUGGAAGGGAAACGCUUGAAGUCAGACUUGCUUGCCGAGCAAUCGGUUUGCAGGCCAGCAUCAGUUUUCCGGGAUGGAUAAUGGUAGAGAG